UUUGUUGAUGUUAUUGAAAAAAUAGUGGUUCAUAUUUCUAAAGAGGGAAUAAUUCAAAAGUACGAAUUGCAUGGAAUGAUACUCUUGAAAAGCUUCUCACCGCUUAGUCAUAAAAUAAUUGUGAAUUCAGAAGAUAAUUUAAAACAAGGUGACGUAAUGAAAGGUCAAAGCAAUAACUUAUUAUUCCACGACUAGUGCAUCAUUUGUGCCAUUUAGACUGCUUUCGAUUGUUGAAGAUGUGGAUAAGAACAGGGAUUGUGAUUUAACUCUACAAUUGUCUUGUAAUUUGCCAUCUAACGUAGAAGCAUUGAAUGUUGUACUACAUAUACCUGUGCCAUCUACUACUAGAAAGUAUUUAUUUGUUUAAGGCCCAAAUGGCAACGCUAGGAAAUCGACCAAUGAUUGCCGCUAAAAAUGUUAGAUGCCAAAUCUAGCUGAGGUGGCUCAACAUACUUUUAAAAACGGAAACGGAAAUAACCAGAUAGCAUCAGCUGCGGCAAUCUUAUACUAUUAAGCUAGGCAGAAGAUUGGUUGUUGCAGUUGGAGGGGAAAGGUGGCAAAAUUUGUCCACCACAGUGUUUUGAUCCAGUGAGUAAGAAGUGCUUAACUCUAAGAUGUCUUUUUUGCUAUUGGUGAUCGAAAUGGACUACAGGUGGCGUAGAGAAGAUCUCUCUACAUAUGGCAACACUUCGCAUGUUUUCACCACUAGCGUGUGGAGAGUCAUAGGAGAAGGAAGUAGGUUUCAGAAGAAAUCCGAUGAGUUAUUAUUUGUAUCACUGUGUGGCAACACUCCCGGCAGUGGUC